rnacentral:rRNA from 1 species
GAUGAACGCUGGCGGCAGGCUUAACACAUGCAAGUCGAGCGAGUGGCGGACGGGUGAGUAAUGCCUGGGAAACUGCCUGAUGGAGGGGGAUAACUACUGGAAACGGUAGCUAAUACCGCAUACCAUCAGAUGUGCCCAGCUGGGAUUAGCUAGUAGGUGGGGUAAUGGCUCACCUAGGCGACGAUCCCUAGCUGGUCUGAGAGGAGGACCAGCCACACUGGAGCUGAGACACGGUCCAGACUCAUCCGGGAGGCAGCGGUGGGGAAUAGUGCACAAGGGGCGCGAGCCUGAUGCAGCCAUGCCGCGUGUGUGAAGGAGGCCUUCGGGGUGUGAAGCACGUUCAGCGAGGAGGCGUUACUCGCAGAAGAAGGACCGGCUAACUCCGUGCGAGCAGCCGCGGUAAUUC